ensembl:lncRNA
CGAGAAGGCUAUGCAAAGCUGACUUCCUGCCUCAGGUGCUUUUCUCUAGGUGGAGUAUUGCUAGGGUAGGAAUGCCAGUACCUCCUAUAAGAACUGGGUUGCAAGCAGCUCAAGGCCUAACGUGUGGAAGGCGUUGGAUUCUCAGACACGAGUCAGAUACUUGGAGAGAUGCAUUUCUUGGAAUUCACAGCCAAAAGAUUUAGUGGUAUUUGAAAGCAUACGUACAUACAGUGGAAGUAUUUACAACUGUGCUAUCAAAGACAAGAGCAUAAAAAAGCAAUUAGUCCUAUUGUAGGACAUUCCAGAGCAGUCUCAUCUGCCAGUCACUGAGCCUCAGUGGGAGGGGAGGAGUAGGAAGGGAGUACUGUCAGCAGGUGUCUUCUGUUCCAUAAAAGUUGAUCUGUGAGGUGUAUGAGUUUUCUUCACUUUUUUUUUUUCACCCAGUCUGUCCAUCUUCCUAAAAUGCUGUACGGCCAAUUUUCCCUCUGGGCUGUUGCUGUCAGACUGCAUCUCAAUUCUGAGAACUGCUCCAGUCCUUCAGUCUGAUGUUGAUUUGUUGCUUCACCCAUGCUGUGGGUCUUACAGUAUGUAGCAACAGAAGGAUUGGGAGGUGGAGGUUGUGGAUUUAGUUUCCCCGUGGUGAAGCAAGUAGAACCAGCUUUGUGCGUAAGGAGUGGCUGCUUAGAGGGUUUCCAUUUCACUUCUGUGCUGAAAUAUUUUGAUUAAACAAUGCAAAACUAGCUGUGGCAGGCCUCUGUAGCUCAGGCACACGCUUGCUUUUGGCAUGUGUGCUCAGACAAGAGUCGCAGCAAUGGUCCCUCAAGAUACAAAAGAAGUGAGGCUGCUGUUUUCUGAGGACCAAUGUGUCCUGCAGCUUUUGUUCACGGCCAGUUGAGAUGCUA